CCUGCCCUAGAAGCAUUGCAGGUAUGGCUGCUGUGUCACAUAUGUUUCAGUGGGUGGUAGAGAGGAGAGAGGCAAUGUCUGUGCUCAGUGUUCUGACUUAUGAAAUAGUAGCAUAAAAUUCCCUGAAAAA